rnacentral:misc_RNA from 1 species
GAUGAAGAACGUAGUGAAAUGCGAUAAGUAGUGUGAAUUGCAGAAUUCAGUGAAUCAUCGAAUCUUUGAACGCACAUUGCGCCCCUUGGUAUUCCAUGGGGCAUGCCUGUUCGAGCGUCAUUUGUACCUUCAAGCUCUGCUUGGUGUUGGGUGUUUGUCUCGCCUUUGCGUGUAGACUCGCCUCAAAACAAUUGGCAGCCGGCGUAUUGAUUUCGGAGCGCAGUACAUCUCGCGCUUUGCACUCAUAACGACGACGUCCAAAAAGUACAUUUUUACACUCUUGACCUCGGAUCAGGUAGGGAUACCCGCUGAACUUAAGCAUAUCAAUAAGCGGAGGA